rnacentral:rRNA from 1 species
GACGAACGCUGGCGGCGUGCUUAACACAUGCAAGUCGAACGGAAAGGCCCUGCUUUUGUGGGGUGCUCGAGUGGCGAACGGGUGAGUAACACGUGAGUAACCUGCCCUUGACUUUGGGAUAACUUCAGGAAACUGGGGCUAAUACCGGAUAGGAGCUCCUGCCGCAUGGUGGGGGUUGGAAAGUUUCGGCGGUUGGGGAUGGACUCGCGGCUUAUCAGCUUGUUGGUGGGGUAGUGGCUUACCAAGGCUUUGACGGGUAGCCGGCCUGAGAGGGUGACCGGCCACAUUGGGACGGAGAUGCGGCCCAGACUCCUACGGGAGGCAGCAGUGGGGAAUAUUGCACAAUGGGCGGAAGCCUGAUGCAGCAACGCCGCGUGCGGGAUGACGGCCUUCGGGUUGUAAACCGCUUUCGCCUGUGACGAAGCGUGAGUGACGGUAAUGGGUAAAGAAGCACCGGCUAACUACGUG